UACGGAGGGGACUAGCGUUGUUCGGAAUUAUUGGGCGUAAAGCGCACGUAGGCGGAUUUGUAAGUCAGGGGUGAAAUCCCGGGGCUCAACCUCGGAACUGCCUUUGAUACUGCAAAUCUCGAGUCCGGAAGAGGUGAGUGGAAUUCCUAGUGUAGAGGUGAAAUUCGUAGAUAUUAGGAAGAACACCAGUGGCGAAGGCGGCUCACUGGUCCGGUACUGACGCUGAGGUGCGAAAGCGUGGGGAGCAAACAGG
rnacentral:rRNA from 1 species